rnacentral:rRNA from 1 species
GACGAACGUUGGCGGCGUGCUUAAUACAUGCAAGUCAACUGAAGCAGUGGUAGCAAUAUCGCUGUGGAGGUGGCGCACGGGUGAGUAACACGUAGGUAAUCUGCCUUCAGGUCUGGCAUAACUCCGGGAAACCGGGGCUAAUAGCAGAUGAUGCAGCGGCUCGACAUCGAGACAGUUGUUAAAGCUAUGGCGCCUGAAGAUGAGCCUGCGUCUGAUUAGCUAGUUGGCGGGGUAACGGCCCACCAAAGCAACGAUCAGUAGCUGGUCUGAGAGGAUGAUCAGCCACACUGGAACUGAGACACGGUCCAGACUCCUACGGGAGGCAGCAGUAAGGAAUAUUGCUCAAUGGGAGAAAUCCUGAAGCAGCAACGCCGCGUGAGGGACGAAGGGCUUUUGCUUGUAAACCUCUGUAGUGAGAGAAAAAAAUCCCAAUCUUUGGGACAUGAUGGUAUCUCAAAAGUAAGCCCCGGCUAACUACGUG